rnacentral:misc_RNA from 1 species
GAACUGCGAUAAGUAAUGUGAAUUGCAGAAUUCAGUGAAUCAUCGAGUCUUUGAACGCACAUUGCGCCCCCUGGCAUUCCGGGGGGCAUGCCUGUCCGAGCGUCAUUGCUGCCCUUCAAGCCCGGCUUGUGUGUUGGGUCGUCGUCCCCUCCGGGGGACGGGCCCGAAAGGCAGCGGCGGCACCGCGUCCGGUCCUCGAGCGUAUGGGGCUUUGUCACCCGCUCGAUAAGGACCGGCCGGGCGCCAGCCGGCGUCUCCAACCUUUUUUUCUCAGGUUGACCUCGGAUCAGGUAGGGAUAGCCGCUGAACUUAAGC